UAGAGUCUAGCCGAUAAUAAGGGUAAUGUCAUGCCCACAAGGGUGGGUUGUUCAGAGCCAACAAACAGAAAGCUGGGCCCCAACCUAGGAGUUGCUCAGGUACACAACUCAACCUGGUAUCUUCCUGACAAAUGCCCAGCUACUACUCCUUCUACCUAAGACCUGUUAUGACUCCCUAGGGAAACAACCUAGUGUCCUCUGUUGCUCUCCCUUGGACACCGAACUAUUCCUUUCCUCUCUGGGUGGUCUGUAGGCCCAUUCCCAUUUGUAUGUGCCAGUAUGUCUGUGUUGUGAGUGUGCUGGUGCCUUUCACACAGAGAUUUCACAGAACCACUCUCAUGUCCCUCCCUGGCCUACCCCACCCCCCACUGCCCACUGCCCAUGGUGUGACUGUUUUGCUAUUCAAGACUAUCUGUAAAAAAUGUACAAAUAAAAAACUGAAAAUUAAGGGGAGGGGGAAUUGCAUCUUCUUAAAUGCUGUAAUGUAGCCCUUGGUUUCCUGAGGGCCUGUGAGGACUGCCCUAGAAUCCUGAAUCUGGGGGGCACUUGAAGAGAGGGAACGCCUGUCACAGAUUUCUCCGGUUGUUUUCCUGAUGGUCGCUUCUGCUUGCUUGGUACUCUCUGUUCUAAAGACAUUUGCCUUUAAACUUAAGUAUGUCUCCCCCCCCCCCAACACCCCUAAAUAAAAGCAUAUCAUCCAAGUUAGACUAGUGAAGGCCAGGACCCAUCUCAACCCAGAGGCAUGACCUGGGGUGAUACUAGUGACUUUGUUAAUAGCUCACCUGGAACCUUGAGUGAAUCUUGUGACCUCACCACGUAUCCAUGUCCUCUCAGACUCACGGGAAGCAGGGUGAUGUUGGGGACACACGUGACACCCGGUCUCCCUAUCCAUUCUGCUGCUAUUUGUGCCCAUGCUGGCUGUUGUAUGCUGACAGAGUUCAGGCAACCCAGGAGCAGCUUUCUUCCUGUUGCUCUGGUGGGAAGCCGACUUUCCUCAGAAAGUAGCCUGCAGCCGGUUUGUGGACAGAGUCCAAAGCCUUUGAUCUACCUUUUCAGUCUCAGAUGCCUUUUCACACCCACUUUGAUGAUCUCAUCUUGCUCUCUCUGAUGGACAGAGCUUUGUCACACAGGACUGGGGUAGGAGAAAGAUCAUCAAAGGAGAUAUGUGAGUGGAUCACUUAACCAACUGUGGCUGGCUCUAUAAAUGUGGCUUCCUGCAUAAAGAAGCACAGGCUGGCCAGGGGACACUAUAAAAUCGGAGGGGGAAAAAAGAACUUGGUUCUGGAGAUACGAUGGAGGUUGUAGGUAGAGGAUGUGGUUAGAUAAACUUAGAGGUUAAUGAAAAAAUGUUUGUGCUUCCAGAAAGUCCCUCAGCAGAGUAGCAGAGAAGCAUCCCCAAGGCAGUAGUAACCCUAGUAGCAUCCAGGGCAUGGAUAAUCCCAGAGAGCAAGGGGCUACUAGGGAAGAGUGGUUGCCCAAGAGAGAUACACACAUUUGGCCUGCGCAAGCAGCCCUCCACUCAUGGUUAUAGGCCCUUCAAUCUAACACUUCCUCACUCCUCAUGGAGUUUGGUGACCCUCCUUGAGAACUGUACAAGGAAGGAUUUAGACCACCCCACCACUGUCCAAUAAAAUUUGGUACAAGUUGUGUAUGCAAUUUGAAAUAUUCUUCUACCUGAGUUGAAAAGCACCAGCAAAACAGGUGAUAUUAAUUUCAAUACUAUAUUUGAACCCAGCACAUCAAAAAUAUUAGCACUUCAACAUGGAAUCAGUAUAAAAGUUACUGGCAUGUUUUAUGUUCUGUUUAUUUCAAGUAAGAUCUUCUAAACCCAAGGUGGGUUUUACCCUGAGAAAACAUCUCCAGCUGGAUCAGCCACAUUGUGGGGGCUCAAAAGCUGCACCAGGCUUUUGUGACCAUCUAGGAGAACAGAGAGUAAGGUCUGUGGUGGAUUUCCUUGUGAGAACAAAGGCAAAGGCUGGAUUUACUCAGUAGCAGCAGAGCUAUAACCAUGAUGCUGACUCACCCUUGGAAGUCCUACUUUACCUUCUUAGUAAGGGGAGAGAGUCACUGCUGUGAACCAACCACAUGUUAUAUCUGCCUCAAGGGGAAUUAGUGCUAUCCUUGGAAAAGGCCCUGAUGACCUGUCAGAGUCCUAGGGAGAAAGCAGGCCAUGCCCCUGGGCUGUAGGAGAGUCAGGCACAGCCCACCCUAUCCAUAUAGAUAGAUGUCUUAUAUCUUAUGAUAAGAGAUAGACAGGCCUCCCUGUUGUUAAGAAUAAACGUCUCUCCCAUCUUCUAACAUCUGGUAGAGUCUCCUGCUAAAAACAUCAUCCUCCAAUUUCUUUAAUUUUUUUUUUUAAUCUUGAGUGUUGAAAAGGAGAUAUGGGAAAAGAAUAGCAGCCACACCGGGUCUCUUAAGAGGUAGCAGAGACAAGUUCUGUCCUUACACUAGGACACAGGCCACCAUUUCCUACCUCUCCUUUCUGCUUAGAGAUCUUCCUUAGAUCUAAAUGAGCCUCUUCUGUGUGUGUGAGAAAGACAAGUAAUGAGAUCUUAGGACAUAGAACAGAAUCAAUGCAAGCAACCAGCCCCUGGGAAUUCUCCAGCCAUGGCAAAGAGCCAGUAUGAUAAGGCUUGAUUCACUUAAAAUCUAAUAUUCUGAGCCCUCUGCCUGCCACGCAGGAGAAAGGGAGCUGAUUUGGUGAGUAAGUUAUAUGUGUGCUCAUUAGACAGGGGCCAUGGCUGGCAAAACCUUCAAACACCUGGAGUGUUGAUGGUCCACCAACUUGUGGCUCAGUCAAUAGAAAUUUAUUUACUCUCACUUUAAUUUGCAUAGUGCUUUCUGAUUGGUUAGACACAGUGUGGUGUAUACUGCAGGAUUCUAACAAGACUCUCCCCUUGGAAAUAACAAUUCCUGUGGUUAUUGGUGCUAAAAUAAGAUUAAAUAUUAUGUUAAUUUGUUCUGAUACAAUUUGAAUAAAUGUAUUGUUUAAUCUUAACAAGAAUGCUACAUCUUAUCAGAUCUAUUGUACUGUCUGUUUCUUCUCAUAAUUAAUUAAUUACAGGAAAGGUGAUCCGAACCAGAUCUGGAAACUCUUGUGAUAUUCCGAGAGGAACUUACCAGGGAAGUGGGAGGGGGAAUGAAAAGGGAAAUUGCCAGGUUCCUGUGACUUUGAAAGGACUGAGGAAGCAGAGAGCGAGCGUUUGGGGACUUCACUGAAACUGACUGCAUCUUGCAAUUUUCUUUUUCAAAUUGGCAGAAAUAUUGUUAUUUCCAUCGAUUGAAGAAAAAAAAGUGUCUGGUAAUUAAUUAAAUGACUUGUUCAUGGAAAAAAAAUAAAAAUAAAUAAUCUGUCAGUUGUGGAAUGUAAACUGAUUAAACAAUUAAAUAAAGAAGACCAUGUUGUGUGUUUU
rnacentral:lncRNA from 1 species